rnacentral:rRNA from 1 species
CGCGUAGGCGGUCUUUUAAGUCAGGUGUGAAAGCCCGGGGCUCAACCCCGGAAGUGCACUUGAAACUAUGAGACUUGAGUAUGGGAGAGGGAAGUGGAAUUCCUGGUGUAGCGGUGAAAUGCGUAGAUAUCAGGAGGAACAUCAGUGGCGAAGGCGACUUCCUGGACCAAUACUGACGCUGAGGCGCGAAGGCGGUGGGGAGCAAACA